AUGCACGCUGGCGGCGUGCCUCAUACAUGCAAGUCGAGCGAACAGACGAGGAGCUUGCUCCUCUGACGUUAGCGGCGGACGGGUGAGUAACACGUGGAUAACCUACCUAUAAGACUGGGAUAACUUCGGGAAACCGGAGCUAAUACCGGAUAAUAUAUUGAACCGCAUGGUUCAAUAGUGAAAGACGGUUUUGCUGUCACUUAUAGAUGGAUCCGCGCCGCAUUAGCUAGUUGGUAAGGUAACGGCUUACCAAGGCAACGAUGCGUAGCCGACCUGAGAGGGUGAUCGGCCACACUGGAACUGAGACACGGUCCAGACUCCUACGGGAGGCAGCAGUAGGGAAUCUUCCGCAAUGGGCGAAAGCCUGACGGAGCAACGCCGCGUGAGUGAUGAAGGGCUUCGGAUCGUAAAACUCUGUUAUUAGGGAAGAACAAAUGUGUAAGUAACUAUGCACGUCUUGACGGUACCUAAGCAGAAAGCCACGGCUAACUACGU
rnacentral:rRNA from 1 species